UACAUGUGGGGCAAGCGUUGUUCGGAAUUACUGGGCGUAAAGGGCUCGUAGGCGGCCAACUAAGUCGGAUGUGAAAUCCCCAGGCUUAACCUGGGAACUGCAUCCGAUACUGGAUGGCUUGAAUCCGGGAGAGGGAUGCAGAAUUCCAGGUGUAGCGGUGAAAUGCGUUGAGAUCGGAAGGAACGCCCGUGGCGAAAGCGAGAUCCUGGACGUCUUCUGACGCUGAGACGCGAAAGCUAGGGGAGCAAACGGG
rnacentral:rRNA from 1 species